AAACUUAAGAGUUUGAUCCUGGCUCAGAACGAACGCUGGCGGCAGGCCUAACACAUGCAAGUCGAACGCGUCCGCAAGGACGAGUGGCGCACGGGUGAGUAACGCGUGGAUACCUACCCCAGAGCGCGGAAUAACCCAGGGAAACCUCGGCUAAUACCGCAUAUCACCUCACGAGGGAAAGACUCCCAUGUCGCUCCGGGACGGGUCCGCGUCGGAUUAGGCAGUUGGUGCAGGUAACGGCUCACCAAACCGACAAUCCGUAGCUGGUUCGAGAGGACGACCAGCCACACUGGGACUGAGACACGGCCCAGACUCCUACGGGAGGCAGCAGUGAGGAAUCUUGGACAAUGGACGAAAGUCUGAUCCAGCCAUGUCGCGUGAGUGAAGAAGGCCCUAGGGUUGUAAAGCUCUUUCAGCGGGGAUGAUCAUGACAGUACCCGCACAAGAAGCCCCGGCUAACUUCGUGCCAGCAGCCGCGGUAAUACGAAGGGGGCUAGCGUUGUUCGGAUUUACUGGGCGUAAAGGGCGCGUAGGCGGUCGGCAAAGUGAAGGGUGAAAUCCUCGGGCCCAACCCGAGAACCGCCCUCCAAACUCGCCGACUCGAGUCCGGAAAAUGACGGCGGAACUCCCAGUGGAGAGGUGGAAUUCGUAGAGAUUGGGAAGAACACCAGUAGCGAAAGCGGCCGCCAGGUCCGAGACUGACGCUGAGGCGCGAAAGCGUGGGUAGCAAACAGGAUUAGAUACCCUGGUAGUCCACGCCGUAAACGAUGUGUGCCAGCUGUCGGGACGCCUCGCGUCUCGGCGGCGCAGCUAACGCCUUGAGCACACCGCCUGGGGAGUACGGCCGCAAGGCUAAAACUCAAAGGAAUUGACGGGGGCCNNNNNNNNNNAGGUGCUGCAUGGCUGUCGUCAGCUCGUGUCGUGAGAUGUUGGGUUAAGUCCCGCAACGAGCGCAACCCCCGUCUUCAGUUGCCAGCGGUUUCGGCCGGGAACUCUGAAGAGACUGUCGGCGUCAAGCCGGAGGAAGGUGGGGAUGACGUCAAGUCCGCAUGGCCUUUAUGGGCUGGGCUACACACGUGCUACAAUGGCGGUGACAGUGGGCUGCAAUGGAGCAAUCCGGAGCCAAUCCUCAAAAGCCGUCCCAGUUCGGAUUGCGCCCUGCAACUCGGGCGCAUGAAGUCGGAAUCGCUAGUAAUCGCGGAUCAGAAUGCCGCGGUGAAUACGUUCUCGGGCCUUGUACACACCGCCCGUCACACCAUGGGAGUUGACUCUACCCGAAGAUGGUGCGCGAACCGAGAGGGCGCAGCCAGCCACGGUAGGGCCAGCGACUGGGGUGAAGUCGUAACAAGGUAGCCGUAGGGGAACCUGCGGCUGGAUCACCUCCUUU
rnacentral:rRNA from 1 species